UCAAGCUAAAAAGAGCGCAGGGUGAAUGCCUUGGCACUGGGAGCCGACGAAGGACGCGAUAAGCUGCGAAAAGCUGCGGGGAUCAGCAAGUAUGAAAUGAUCCGCAGAUGUCCGAAUGGAGCAAUCCGCCGGAAUAAAGCUCCGGCAUCAUACACUGAAUCCAUAGGUGUAUGAGGGGAACCGCCUGAACUGAAACAUCUAAGUAGGGCGAGGAAGAGAAAUCAACCGAGAUUCCGCCAGUAGUGGCGAGCGAACGCGGAAGAGGCUAAACCAAUAGUAGAAAUACCAUUGGGGUUUCGGACUGUGAAAGGUAUCUUAAGAUCUAGUCGAAGUGUGUGGGAAAGCAUACCGGAGAGCGUGAGAGUCGCGUAGAUGAAAGAUCAAGAGAGCCGACAGGAUCCAAAGUACCACGGGACACGAGGAAUCCCGUGGGAAGACGGGGGGACCACCCUCCAAGCCUAAAUACUACCCAGUGACCGAUAGCGUAUAGUACUGUGAAGGAACGGUGAAAAGAACCCCGGGAGGGGAGUGAAAGAGAACCUGAAACCCUGUGCUUACAAGCACAUAGAGCACGUCAACGUGUGAUAUGGUACUUUUUGUAGAACGGUCCGGCGAGCGUAUGUAAGGAGCAAGGUUAAGCACUUCUGGUGCGAAGCCAAAGGGAAACCGAGUCUGAAUAGGGCGAAAAGUUGCUUGCAUAGGGCCCGAAACCGGGUGACCUAUCCAUGUCCAGGUUGAAGUGGGAGUAAAAUCCCAUGGAGGACCGAACCGACCCCCGUUGAAAUGGUGGCGGAUGAGGUGUGGAUAGCGGAGAAAUUCCAAUCGAACCCGGAGAUAGCUGGUUCUCCCCGAAAUAGCUUUAGGGCUAGCGUUGUGAAUGAUUACCGGAGGUAAAGCACUGAAUGAUGGAGGGGCCGAGAGGUUACCAAAAUCUAUCAAACUAAGAAUGCCGGAUAAUUGAAUCACAGCAGUCAGACAGUGUGAGAUAAGUCUCAUUGUCAAAAGGGAAAAAGCCCAGACCCACAGCUAAGGUCCCAAAGGAAUGUUAAGUGGAGAAGGAUGUGGAGUUGCGAAAACAACCAGGAUGUUGGCUUAGAAGCAGCCACUCAUUUAAAGAGUGCGUAAUAGCUCACUGGUCGAGUGACUCUGCGCCGAAAAUGUAACGGGGCUAAACAUGACACCGAAGCUUGGGAUACCGUAAGGUAUGGUAGGGGAGCGUUGUGUACGGGGUGAAACAUGAGCGGAAGCGCGUGUGGACUGUACAGAAGUGAGAAUGCCGGAAUGAGUAGCGCGAUUUAUGUGAGAAUCAUAAAGGCCGAAAGCCUAAGGUUUCUGGAGGAAGGUUCGUCCGCUCCAGGUAAGUCGGGAGCUAAGGUGAGGCCGAGAGGCGUAGCCGAUGCACAUACGGUAGAAAUUCCGUAACCGUCGAAGUAUUUAAGCAAAGGGACACUGAGGAAGUGUAUGACCCGGGCGAUGGUAGCCCCGGGCGAAAGGGACCGAAAUUUAGUAGGGAAGCAUGCAUGGAAACAGGCGAGAAAAGCUUUGUGAAUAUACAAGAUGCCCGUACCGCAAACCGACACAGGUAGGUAGGAAGAGAAUUCUAAGGCCAACGGGAGAAGGGUUGUUAAGGAACUCGGCAAGUUGACCCCGUAACUUCGGAAUAAGGGGUGCUCACGAGAGUGAGCCGCAGAGAAUAGGCCCAGGCAACUGUUUACCAAAAACACAGGUUUGUGCUAAAUCGAAAGAUGACGUAUACGAGCUGACGCCUGCCCGGUGCUGGAAGGUUAAAAGGAGAUGUGCAAGCAUUGAAUUGAAGCCCCAGUGAACGGCGGCCGUAACUAUAACGGUCCUAAGGUAGCGAAAUUCCUUGUCAGGUAAGUUCUGACCCGCACGAAAGGCGUAAUGAUUUGGGCACUGUCUCAACAGCCCGCCCGGCGAAAUUGUAGUACCGGUGAAGAUGCCGGUUACCCGCGACAAGACGGA
rnacentral:rRNA from 1 species